rnacentral:rRNA from 1 species
AUUGAACGCUGGCGGUAGGCCUAACACAUGCAAGUCGAACGCGAAAGUCCUUCGGGAUGAGUAGAGUGGCGGACGGGUGAGUAACGCGUAGGAAUCUAUCCUGUAGUGGGGGAUAACGUUUCGAAAGGAACGCUAAUACAGCAUACGCCCCAAGGGGGAAAUCGGGGGAUCUUCGGACCUCGUGCUAUAGGAGGAGCCUGCGUCGGAUUAGCUAGUUGGUGAGGUCAAGGCUCACCAAGGCGACGAUCCGUAGCUGGUCUGAGAGGAUGAUCAGCCACACCGGAACUGAGACACGGUCCGGACUCCUACGGGAGGCAGCAGUGGGGAAUAUUGCGCAAUGGGCGAAAGCCUGACGCAGCCAUACCGCGUGUGAGAAGAAGGCCUUCGGGUUGUAAAGCACUUUCAGUGGGGAGGAAAAGCUGGUGGCUAAUAUCCAUCGGCCGUGACGCUACCCACAGAAGAAGCACCGGCUAAUUCCGUGCCAGCCGCCGCAGUAAUAC